GCAAAAUGAACUAGAUAUCCUCAUACUAGGGACUAGGAGAGUACAUGAAAUUCUAUGAUAUGUAUGAACAAAACUAUGAUCAUGGAGCUGACACAUAAGGCAUGAGUAGAUAUCGUGAUGGAUGGGGUACUAAUACAGAAAUAAGAAUGAGUCGAGCAUCAUCCUCCUACACAGGCAGCAAUACUAGAAUCUGAGAAUCUGACUUGGUUAUCAUCUCCC
rnacentral:lncRNA from 1 species